UUGUGGAUUGCCGGGCCAUAUCUCCUUGGGCAGAUCAUCAUAUUGGGCUUCACUUUGCUUAUGCCAGUUCUGUUCUGCCAAAGGAGAUUUGCCCAGCAAUCCAUAU
rnacentral:pre_miRNA from 1 species